rnacentral:lncRNA from 1 species
CUCUGCCAAGAGUAUGAAUGUCCCUGGACCUCCUGAGCUGGCAGAGCUUGUAGCCGUGAGAGCCCCUGCCAUUGUUCUACGUGGAGUACUCGAUGGCCAACACUGCAGUUCUCCUGCAAGCCUUAAUCAAAAGGGCCAUGAGUUCUUCAGAAUAGAGUUGUCUUUUAGUCCCUGCCUCCAAAUGUAAGACACAAAGUAAAUAACUAAUACAUAGUUAGAGAAGGCAUUAGAAUGUGUUCAGAUGAUUAUUUAUUGAAUAUUUUAUUUAUUUAUAUUUCAAAUGUUAUUCCCUUUCUUGGUUUUCCCUCUGUAACCUCCCUAUCCCAUCCUCCCUCCUCCAUGCUUCAAUGAGGGUGUUCCCCCACCCACCC